CCUGAUGCUUAUCGUCUCUUCGUCGAAGUCGGUUGCCGCGGUUGUCCUCCAAUACGGUUCGUUUAUGUUUUCUUUCUCUUUUCCCUUUGUUAUUUACUCUUCCUUCCUUUAUCCGCUUCCUUUUAUCAAUUCUUUCCCACACCGUCUCUCUCCCUCUGGGUUACUGACGUUGGAGCCGUUGCUGGUGAUCGACGAAUGGUAAAGGAGCAGCACUCAGUGACCAGUCCCAACUUUUUCGUCGGCGUUGAAGGCCACCGGUGUUGGCGAAGGCAGUCCAUCAAAGUGCUCGGCGGACAGAGACUUGGCUUCGGGGUUGUUCUUCUAAGAAUAGGUUUGUCUCCUGCUUAUUUCAAAAAACGACAUACAUGUAGAUUUGAUUUCCUUAAUUACUCUUUGCAAGUAUUACGUUCAUCAACUUGGGUUCUUCCACCACCGAUUUAUGUUCCUACGUACCGGUCUCACUGAAUUUUUAUAUUGUGACUGACGUUGGAGCUGUUGCUGGUGAUCGACGAGUGCUGAAGGAGCAGCAGUCGGAGACCAGUGGUUUGAUGGUGCGCCGAUGGCGUCACCGAUUUCCUGUUUGCUUAACGGUUCCAUGUUUCGUCCACUGCUUCUCUUAGCAGUUUCCGUUCUUUCUCUGGGAAUCAAUUUAAGGUGUUUGACGGGAUGAGAAAGCAGGAACAACUAUGUGUGUUUAUGGUUAUUAGAGAAAUUUGAAGAAACAGUGGAAGCGCACCAGGUGUUUGAUAAAAUGCCUAUUUGAAAUCUGGGUUUGAAACCAAUAAUUGGUCAGCUUAAGAGAUCCUAUUCGGAAAGGUGCUGAUGAUAAUGACCUGAGACAAAUUAAUGAAUUAUUGGGGCUGCGGUAAGUGAAUCUAUUAAGAAGGAGUAUGACCGAAAGUGUGAACAACUUAGACAUCAAUUCGCAAAGGAUAUUAAACCUCAUGUGAUUGAUAAAACUCAAGCUACGGCUAAAGAUUUGCAUUCGCGUAUUUGGGUUGUAUUACAUACGGUUGAUUCUAUAUCAAAACGGAUUGAGAAAAUAAGAGAUGAAGAGUUACAACCGCAAGAACUCAUUCAAAGGUGUAUUCCAUUGCAAUCGGUCUGUCGGCCAUGGCAAAAACCCGCAUAAAUGUCACUUAUUGUUGGGCUUCCGCGUCAUAAUAAAAAGGAUGAUUUUCGCCAAGCUGCUCGACAUUCCAUACACCAAACUCCUUCAAAAUUGCUUUCACUUAUCCUGCUGUUAAGUGUUAAGUUACCGACAAAGAAGCCCUUCAGGGUUCUGGGUUUGCAUUACGGUCUCUGAAUAUGGUUAGACACUUCAUUAUCAAAGAAGAAAUGUCUAUGUCCUUGAUGAGACGGAAAUACGCAUGCACAAUGCAUAGUGUGUGCUAUCUCGGACUGUAAAUGACAGCAGGGUCCGUUUUGUCCAAAAAAGGGUACUUUAUCUAUAGAAUAUUCAUUUUAACAGAAAGAUAUAAAGGCCAUAUAGAUGGUAAUGCUAUAACAAACAAACGAAUGGAAGUACGUUGCCAUUCUUUUCAUCUCAAAUGAUCUCAAAUGCUCAAACAUGACAUUGGUGUUACUUUCAAUUAUUUUCUAUUAAGUCAUUGUAUUAUAUAUUGGGUUGAAAUUUUAAAUUACAAUGUUAUAAUAACACUGAUGAUGUGUGUGAAA